AGUGCGUCAACACAUGCAACGACCAGAGGGGCGUCAGCCUCAUCAUACUCGGAGUGAAUGGUUGUGAGUGCGGCUUCGGAUCGCCAAAUGUCAAGACAGAUAAGCUCUGCAAUCCGCUGGUGAAAAACGCUCGCGUUUUCUUACUCGUCCACAGAAAGCAAGCCUCCAAAGGUUACGUUCCGCCAAAGUUUGAGUGGAUCGUGAAGGCAAACCUCACCAAGACGGACCACGAUCUGAACGUCAGCGUCCAGCCGUGGAU